rnacentral:rRNA from 1 species
GAGUUUGAUCCUGGCUCAGGAUGAACGCUAGCGGCAGGCCUAAUACAUGCAAGUCGGACGGGAUAGGAGAGCUUGCUUUCCUUGAGAGUGGCGCACGGGUGCGUAACACGUAUGUAACCUACCUUUGUCAGGGGGAUAGCCUCUCGAAAGAGAGAUUAAGACCGCAUAACAUAAUUGAAUGGCAUCAUUUAAUUAUCAAAUAUUUAUAGGACAAAGAUGGGCAUGCGGAACAUUAGCUAGUUGGUGUGGUAACGGCAUACCAAGGCUACGAUGUUUAGGGGAUCUGAGAGGAUGGCCCCCCACACUGGUACUGAGACACGGACCAGACUCCUACGGGAGGCAGCAGUAAGGAAUAUUGGUCAAUGGGCGGAAGCCUGAACCAGCCAUGCCGCGUGCAGGAAGACGGCCCUACGGGUUGUAAACUGCUUUUGCAGGGGAAUAAACCCCGGUAUGUAUACCGGGCUGAAUGUACUCUGAGAAUAAGGAUCGGCUAACUCCGUGCCAGCAGCCGC